GUUGGUCCAGCUCUGGCUCACAGGGGUAGAUGACAGCUGCUGCACCCUCAAAAGCCUCCCAGCUCCUCGUACCAAUGACAGAUUCUGCACAGAACCCCCCUACACAGACACUGGCACCUGGCUGGCAGAUUUACCCUCAAAGGCCGCAGUAAUGAGAGACCAUAAGUACUGUAGUAAGAGCCCCUAGAGUCCUCCGAAUCACGUUCCUGGGACCGUUCACCAAAGCUCAAUGGCCUGCGGAAUAAAGAAAUGCGGAGACGUUAAAUGGGCGCUCCAGUAAGGCACGAGAAAACAUCUUUGAAAAAAGUGCUGCUUCAGAAGACAAAAGCAGAGAGGAGGCAGCUAAAAAGAAAAAAAAAAACUAUAGAAGUGACUUUGUAAAGAGACUGCAGGAUACACAAAAAGAUUCUGAGAGAAGCAGAAAAUGUACCAUGUCAACAAAAGCUACGAAGACCAAAGGCAGUUGAAAAUAUCUCUGACAGGUCAAUACAGAAUUAUGCUGCAGGGCCAGUACCCAUUGCUGGGAAGGAACCCCUAUUGUAUUACAGUAGGGACGGGGAACCUUCGGCCCUCCAGCUGUUGUUGAACCACACAUCCCAGCAUGCACUGCUACAGU